ACAUGCCAGUUGGUACAUUUUUGUUUUGCUCAGAAAGAGAUGGAGAUAGUGCUUGUUUCGAGGAACCUCGAUCUGUUGUGCAACUCAUGUUGGCAAUGAGCUCAGAACUCGAAGAAGAGCAACGACAGAAAAGGAAUUUUCAAAAUGUAGAUUACGGGCUCAUUUUGGAGCGUCUAAAACGCUAUAAUCCAGUACGUAAGGAAUAUUCACCUCUUCAUCAAUCAAAUAUAAAUCCUGUUGAAGCAGAAACUAUGAUACAGUUGGAAGCUAUUGGAGUCAAGAGAUUACAGGUAAGUUACAUUACCAUAAUACAUGAUGAAAGUCAUUUUUUCUUUAAAGGAUAUUGAUCUCAACAAGACGGCAGGGAAAUCAGGGCAACCGUAUGACUACCUCUCUGAUAGCAAAUGUAGCAAGCUGGACGGAAGAUUAUCUAACACAGAGGAGGAAUAUCUUUGAUCCUACAAAGAAACUGAAUGACAUAAAAAUAGAUAUGGCUUAUCUGGAAUGGUAUAAGAAGGUGUCGGUUGAGCAGGGAGGAUACUAUGAUAGUUACAAACUUUGGCGCUGGAAAAGUAGGGAUGAAAUCAAAAGCAGACAUGAAAUCAUGAAGCGCAAGAGAAUUCUCACUCGAUACUGGAGAGGCAUAGUUGAUGAAGCAGAGCAAAUGCCUCAAAAAGAAGGUUUGGCUUUUCGGACUCGUGGGCUUUAUGCAGGAACCAAUUACCGAAGAAUGGUUGAACCACUUGACAUAGCUGAAUACUACGGUGAGGGAAAGAAAGAUUAUCUAACUCAAGGAAGACCCAAACAUUACAGGUUGUUGGAACAAUGGUUGAACGAGGACAAGCAGCCUGGGACUGGGAAUAGAAACUCAAGGAGCAAGGCUUGUAGUCUCACAGAGGAUUCUUGCUUUUGGGCUCAUGUGGAGGAGGCUACUAUAUGUUGCAAUGUAUUGAAGGAUGGCCAAAGCAGCCUAAAAGACAGAGAAACAUCAAGGAAAAGGCUCGUUGAAUUUGAGCAAUAUGCCAUGGAUUUGAUAAAUACCUAUUCGGUGUCUGUUGAGGUUUUCCUGGAGCAGAGCAGCUUCAUGCAAUGGUGGAAUGGGUAUUCUGAACUCAUCGACCUCAUAGGAGGAUUUUUAUGUCAGUCUCCCUUGAGGGAUUUCAUGAAGAACAAGCGCUAUAGAAAUUAUGCUUAGGGAGUCGGAAAAUAAUAAUGAUGUGUAAAAAUUGCUUGGGUCAUUUUUCAACACAAUAAUAGAAAGGUAACAGCAGCCACCAUCUCAGGAAAGGAGUCACGAGAUUCCAAAAUGGAAGUGUGGGCCAUUUUUUAGUUGUAGCAUCCAAUGCCUGCAUGGAUUUGAACCCUAUCUAUCACCCCUUUCAAUGGAGAAACCCCAAAAAAAAAAAGAAUUAAAAAGAAAAGGUUGUCAACUCAUCCUUUUAGGCUUUUACUAGUAGAAGAAUAACUAAUGACAUAAGCACUUUUUUUUUUCCUUUUAAAAAAAAAAAAAAAAAAAA
rnacentral:lncRNA from 1 species